rnacentral:sRNA from 1 species
ACACGCAUAACUAAGGAGGCCGGCAGUGUAUCUCUGCGUAUGAAGCAGGUGGAAGAACUGUGAGUAGGCUGAGAGUCUUGCAGAGCACCAAUGUCCACUGCUACCCUGUCCAUUCUCCCUCUGCCGCUUCUCUUGAAGGCCUUUGUCCAUCCAGAAAGAUGAGGUGGUGGGAGGAACUGCCUGUCUGUGCAGUAGCUUUGGCUCACAAGGGAAGAGGUCGUGGUGCAGCUGUGUCGGUCGAUGACUGCUUAUCUGAUUGGUUGCUUCCAUGUGCAGCUGUGUGUUCAGAGUGGUGUUGGUUCCCCCUCCUGUUGGUUUUUGUGGUGGACCAGCCACUAUCAGCAGCAAACCUGAAGGCCUGUUCUAUAGUUUUCCUUAGUAGGAAGGAAAUCGUAUGCUUCUCUUAAAGUGCUCUGAUUCUUGGUAACUCAUUGCUUUUUUAUUUCACUUUGGGACACUUAGAUUUGAUGGUGAUUCUAGUUUUUUUUAACUUUUAGUUUUUUAUUGUUUGUUGUUUUCGUGUUCAAAGAUAAUAUUUCAGCCUUUUGUAUUUUAGUUCCCGAGGGUUAGAAUAUUCUUUGAUUCUUAAGAAAUCUUUCAAGUAACAGAAUGGCACAGAUACUCAGUACUGUGCCUGAUUUUCCUUCUGAACUUGCCAAAACUUUCUGAGAGCUGAAUGUAUCAUUUUAGAAAUGACCUACUAAUAUGGAGAUAAAACAUCCUAUAUGAGGAAAUUUUAAAGCUCAGUGUACCUUCCCCCACCUCAUGCCAGCCUGGGGGCUAUUCAGAGAAUUAUAAAAGACAAAAAAACUCUCUGUGUACAUUCUGCCCAGCAAAUUCAUUUCAUCUCUCCACUGUAGUUGCAUGAACCCUGUGUUGCUGUGCUUAAGCGCUUGGUUUCAGUCACUUGUGGUUGUGUUGUUGUAAGUGCGGAAUUGGCCUGGGGAUAAGUGUGCCUGGCUGUUCUAGCCACCUAGUUGUGAACAGUACAGUGUGCGCCUAUCUCUCAGGCUGUGGUGUGGGUACUUGGAAUCCUCGUCUUCAUCUGAUAACUCUGUUACUAGGGCAUCAUCAUUACAAACUCGUAGCCUGGAAUCCACAUCUUGGAGACAGCUCGUGGUUUGCCUUUAUGUUAGCAUCUACAGCUAACUGCCUUCCUUGUCCCUCCUGUCACCCUCUUGAAUUCCAUCAGAUAUCAUUCUCUGCUGGAACUGGGUGAGAAGCGUAAAGGCAUGUUGGAGAAGAGUUGCAAGAAGUUUAUGUUGUUCCGUGAGGCGAAUGAACUACAGCAAUGGAUCAAUGAGAAGGAAGCCGCUCUGACAAGUGAGGAGGUCGGCGCAGACUUGGAGCAGGUUGAGGUGCUCCAGAAGAAGUUUGAUGACUUCCAGAAGGACCUGAAGGCCAAUGAGUCACGGUUGAAGGACAUUAACAAGGUAGCUGAAGACCUGGAGUCUGAAGGUCUCAUGGCAGAGGAGGUGCAGGCUGUGCAACAACAGGAAGUGUAUGGCAUGAUGCCCAGGGUAAGUUUCGGGUGCUGCAUGUGGAUCUUGAACAUGAGAAGGACUUAAAUCUUGGGAAGAAUAUUAAGCCAAGAACUUCUUCAUCAGAAUUGCUGUUCCUGAACCUCAGAUGCCUUUUGUGUGUAAAGAUUUGUGGAAAACACCAAAAAAUUGAUUUCUUUUUUUUUUUUUUGGGACGGAGUCUCACUCUGUCACCCAGGCUGGAGUGCAGUGGUGUGAUCUUGGCUCACUGCAACCUCCACCGCCCAGGUUCAAGUGAUUCUCCCAUCUCAGCUUCCUGAGUAGCUGGAAUUCCAGGCAUGUGGCACCACACCCAGCUAAUUUUUGUAUUUUUAGUAGAGACGGGGUUUCACCAUGUUGCCCAGGCUGGUCUCGAACUCCCAACCUCAGGUGAUCCGCCCACCUCAGCUUCCCAGAGUGCUGGGAUUACAGACGUGAGCCACCGCGCCUGGCCCAGAAAUUGAUUUCUAUUUGCCAUUCUCCAAAAGACAAAAAAAGUUGGUGUUUUUUUUUUUUUUUAAGAGAUAGGGUCUUGCUUUGUUGCCCAGACUGGAGGUCAGUGGCUUUUCACCUUUUCACAGCUGCGGUUAUAGCCUACUGCAGCCUCGAACUCCUGGCCUCAAGCAAUUCUCCCACCUCAGCCUCCCAGGUAUCUAGGACAACAGGCAUGCAACACAAAGCACAGCUCUAAAAAAAAAAAGAA